GCCCCUCUGUGCCGGAAAAACCUAAUCCAAAAUUAAGUUUCAAUUUCAUACACUGACCUCUCAAUUAAGUCUCAACCACGAUGGAGUGAAGGAGGGUCCCUUUCCAUUCAACGCAGUUAUUAACCCUUCUCACAUUCUCAUGGAUUUUUGUUUCUCUUUCCAUUUCACCAAUAACCCUUGUUUUUGUACCUAAGCUAUUUGGUGAAGCUCUUGAGCGAGGAACCGGCUUCUUCAAGUUAAUAUCAUACUACCAGACACAGUCAGGACCUUCAUACUGUGGUCUCCACACUCCUUUCGUUCGUUGUCCUCAAUGCCCUUGCUAUUGAACAUGGAAGGAAAUUGAAAGUGCUGAACAAUGUGAUAGUGAAACUGAUCCAAUUGAUAACGAGAAGUACCUAAGUGAGUAUGCAAUGAAGAUAUUCUCCAGGCUACAACUGCACGUAUAAUCAUUGCAAAUUAUUGUUUAUUAUCACAGUACGUACUCUUAAUUGAAACAAGUUCUCCAGAUUGCUAACUAGAAUGUGAGUUUGACCAUUUCCUUCUGCUUCCUAGUCCCCUAUAUACUGCAUGAAGGCUGCACUUUGUGCCUUGCAAAUUUAAAUUAACUGCACUUUGUGUCUUUGCAGUUAUAAUUUUUCAUUCUUUAAGUUACGAACCUCAUUCAGUGACAUGAUUUGUGUAAAUGCUGCGGAAAAAUCCUGAGUCGAGCCAA